CACGUAGGCGGCUUCUUAAGUCAGGGGUGAAAUCCUGGAGCUCAACUCCAGAACUGCCUUUGAUACUGAGGAGCUCGAGUCCGGGAGAGGUGAGUGGAACUGCGAGUGUAGAGGUGAAAUUCGUAGAUAUUCGCAAGAACACCAGUGGCGAAGGCGGCUCACUGGCCCGGUACUGACGCUGAGGUGCGAAAGCGUAGGGGAGCAAACA
rnacentral:rRNA from 1 species